rnacentral:rRNA from 1 species
UACGAAGGGGGCUAGCGUUGUUCGGAAUUACUGGGCGUAAAGCGCACGUAGGCGGCCUUGUAAGUUGGGGGUGAAAUCCCGGGGCUCAACCUCGGAAUUGCCUUCAAGACUGCUUGGCUCGAGUUCGGGAGAGGUGAGUGGAAUUCCCAGUGUAGAGGUGAAAUUCGUAGAGAUUGGGAAGAACACCAGUGGCGAAGGCGGCUCACUGGCCCGAUACUGACGAUGAGGUGCGAAAGCGUGGGGAGCAAACAGG